rnacentral:rRNA from 1 species
AUUGAACGCUGGCGGCAUGCUUUACACAUGCAAGUCGAACGGCAGCACAGGGAGCUUGCUCCCGGGUGGCGAGUGGCGCACGGGUGAGUAAUACAUCGGAACGUGUCCUGUUGUGGGGGAUAACUGCUCGAAAGGGUGGCUAAUACCGCAUGAGACCUGAGGGUGAAAGCGGGGGAUCGCAAGACCUCGCGCAAUUGGAGCGGCCGAUGCCCGAUUAGCUAGUUGGUGAGGUAAAGGCUCACCAAGGCGACGAUCGGUAGCUGGUCUGAGAGGACGACCAGCCACACUGGGACUGAGACACGGCCCAGACUCCUACGGGAGGCAGCAGUGGGGAAUUUUGGACAAUGGGGGCAACCCUGAUCCAGCCAUGCCGCGUGAAGGACUAAGGCCCUACGGGUCGUAAACUUCUUUAGACGCAGAGCAAUAAGGUCCACGCGUGGACCGA